CGCUUCAUCUUUUUGACUGACUCGUUCACAAGAGUCGUUUGAUCGCGAAUCGAACUUGACGAAUCGCAUUGUGCAGUUUCUGCUUUCAGGAAACACGCUGAUUAUCUGACUAAAGCGCUUUUGAACAAAGUUUUCCAACUCUUGUCACUCUUUUAAAAGGUUGCUCUGGAACUGGUCUGGAAUGACAACAAUUCUGACUGAAUAACAACAGACUCAUCUAGCCUAUAUUAAAAUACGAGAAAAAGAAAGUCAUAUGGGACUGGAACGACACAAGGCAGCUCGGUCUAAAGUUGAUCUCCAAGACAGUUACUAUGAAUAUAACAGCUACUGCGGUGAAGAGAGGCAAAAAAAGACCUGAAAAUCCGGUUUGGAGAAGUGGAGUCCCUCCCAAUGCAUCUUUCUCAGAGUUGGCAGCAGGCGUGUGUGGGAUGCCAGAACAGAAGUCUAGAGCCUUGAGAAAGCAGUGAGAUUAAAUGGAGAACAAAAGGACUGAGCCUAAGUCUCUCAGAUGUUUUUCCUGAGAAAAAGACUUCAGUAAUCUUCAGCUAUUUGUGAAGCCCACCCUCACAGAGAAUGAGAGCGCUCUCUAGUGGUCACAAACACCACAGUGCUUUUUGGGCUGUUUUGACCAGGGCUUGACUGGACUGAUUACGCGGUCACCCCACCCCAAACCCUUUCCUUCCCAUGAUGCCUCAGGCUACAACGCCACACCCCACAACAACACUCCCCCCUCCUGAGUGGGAGGGUCUCAGUGCAGGUGGGAAGGGUAAUUAAACUUUUACAUAGACUCACUUCUCUGGUGUAAAUCAGCUUACUGUCACAGAUCCAUUCUGCUGGAAGAUCUCGAGAUGACAGAAAGGUGAGGGCUGGAGCAGUUCAAACAAAACAGCCUUUGUUUACACACCCUCAUGUUGUCCCAGAAUCAUGUAACCCACAAAUUUUCACACAGCAUGUAGUUCAUAUGCUAGAAAAAGGUCCAAAUUAUCCAAAUUUUGAAAUCGUUUUCUGACUAAUAAAAGUUAUAUAUACAUAUUAACACAUAUAAAUCAUCUGUGUAAUCAAAUGCAAGACAAUUUAUUGAAAUUGAAAAACCUACUUUUGUGAACUAGUACUAGGUUUUUGACCCGAUCAGAACCAAACCAGUGCAACGAGAUUCUCCAGAGUCUGACUGUCAAUCGUUAUCAAAAAAAGUUGAAAUUUCGAUUCAUGGUCUCUAAGGGCCGCCAAAACUUUUGAAGUGGGUGGAUCCACUUUUACUAAAAUGGCUAUAACUCGUGAACAGAAUGAGAUAUUUUCACCAAACUUGGUACACCUAUGUAAAAGCUCAUUCUGCGGUCGCAUGAAAAAGGAUGCAGCGACUGGCCAUUUGGUGGCGCUAUAACAGGAAAUAAAUGCAUGCAGUGUCUUUGUCCGAGGUGCCAUUAUUGUCUAUGAGGACGUUGACAUAUCUCAAAAAACACGUCCUCCAUCGGCCAAUGAAUUUUGAGCAGCUAUCAGACGAGGUUAAUGUAGGCCGAUCGUAACGAAACUCGUUGGGCCUGUUUGACUCACAGCCCUAGAGACCUGUGAGAAAUUUGAAAGAAAUCAGCCACCGGAGCAUUUUCAGGUGCGUAAAGGAUCAUGUUUUGCGUGAUUUUUUUGUGCACGCCUACAUCAUUCAUACAGCAUGGUAGAACUCCUCAUUCUGAGCAACUUUUUAUUCUCCGCUGCUGUCCAUCAAAUCGUUCGUUUAAUACUGGAGAUUAUUUCAAAAACCAAUUUUAGUGAACUAGUCCUAGGCCCGACCUCAAUAACUAUUAAAAAAGCUUUAAAAACUAUUUAUUUCCUAUGGUAAAUUGCCUGUAUUUUCUGUAAAUGGUCUUCUCCAUCUAUGAUCGAGAUGGUUACAGGCUUGCUAAAUAAAACAUAAUACCUUUUUACACAUGUGCGUGAAGGCCUUAAAGCGAUUGAACCCCAAUAAUUGCUGCUCGCAGCUAUAUUUUAAACAUGCUUCUGUUUCUCCCAGUUUUCUUAUCUCUCAUUGUUGCGAUUUACAUAGUGCAAUCCAACUGUUAUGGGGUCAAAUGGAUAUCACAGAUGGCAUAUUUUGUUCUAACUGUGUUUUGUAAUUGCAAAUCAUGUAUUUUAGUGUUGACAUGAUUAGCAUGCUUCUGUUUGCUUCAAAGCUGUCUUCUUGCAGCUGUGUUGACACUGAUGAAUUUACUAGCGAAAGGCCCGAGGCAGACCAUCACAUCACUGGGAAUAGCUCACAUGCCUCUCACUGCUCUGAGUGCCAAAUCAUAUCUGUGCCUUGAUGUUAAAAGUGGAUGAAUGAUGCCUUGUUUCUUUGCUUUUGACCUUUUCUCUGCAGGUUUUGAUAUUUUAAACCUGUUUGUUAGGAGAGUUUUUUUUAGACGUGCACUUCUCUAAAACUAAUCCGGUUGUACCCUGAUUAUUGUUUUACAAAAGAAGACAGACACCCUUUCCAUCAAGUCUCUCAAAAGCAUGUUAAGAUACUAACCAUCAAUGAAAGAAUAUGCUGACAGCGUAAGACAAAUAUGUACAUAUGGCAUAAAUAUGAGUCAAACAAAACACCUCGGGAUGUUUGCAAAUAUGUUCAGAAAUACAUUUUAUAGCUAUUAAUAUAUAUUUAAAUUUUUUUUGUGUGUGUUUGCACACUCACACUGAGCUGCUCAUUUGCGUGACAUAGAUCAUGCUACAAACUUCUCAACAAAGUCUGUAAUCAUUUAAAUUACUUGCCAGAAGGCUGAAUAUGUAAAAUAUGAUUUUAGAAGUCUCACUCUUUUGAUUUUUAUAAAAUUAAAUAUUAAUUUCAAACUUAUUUAGAUGGUAUAUAGUAAAAUAAGAAAAGAAAGAAACUUGUUGUAUCUGUUGAUUCUAUGGAAUAGAAGUGGUAAAGUUCAAGGAAGAGGAAAUGAUAUGACGAAUAAAGAUCCCUUUGUCUGAUAAGUGCAACAUCAAACCGUGCCGAAGCUGAUGUGUCAAAGGGUUUUUGCAUACAUAUAUAUUGACUAUAAUGCACUUGCCUUCCGGGUCCAACCCUUCAGCUAAAACAAGGCUUGAAAAUGAGACUACAUUUUUUUUUUUUUUUUUCUGGAUUAUUUGAUGAAUUGAACAUUGAA